rnacentral:rRNA from 1 species
AGCGAACGCUGGCGGCAGGCCUAACACAUGCAAGUCGAACGAACUCUUCGGAGUUAGUGGCGGACGGGUGAGUAACACGUGGGAACGUGCCUUUUGGUUCGGAAUAACUCAGGGAAACUUGUGCUAAUACCGAAUGUGCCCUUCGGGGGAAAGAUUUAUCGCCAUUAGAGCGGCCCGCGUCUGAUUAGCUAGUUGGUGAGGUAACGGCUCACCACGGCGACGAUCAGUAGCUGGUCUGAGAGGAUGACCAGCCACACUGGGACUGAGACACGGCCCAGACUCCUACGGGAGGCAGCAGUGGGGAAUCUUGCGCAAUGGGCGAAAGCCUGACGCAGCCAUGCCGCGUGAAUGAUGAAGGUCUUAGGAUUGUAAAAUUCUUUCACCGGGGACGAUAAUGACGGUACCCGGAGAAGAAGCCCCGGCUAACUUCGUG